rnacentral:rRNA from 1 species
ACGUCUCAGUUCGGAUUGUAGUCUGCAACUCGACUACAUGAAGCUGGAAUCGCUAGUAAUCGCGAAUCAGAAUGUCGCGGUGAAUACGUUCCCGGGUCUUGUACACACCGCCCGUCACACCAUGGGAGUUGGUAACGCCCGAAGUCAGUGACCUAACCGAGAGGGAGGAGCUGCCGAAGGCGGGACUGAUAGCUGGGGUGAAGUCGUAACAAGGUAGC